rnacentral:piRNA from 1 species
UUGCAAAUCUGGACCCAGUCCAAAUCCUCAG